UGUUGGUAGGGGAAUAUAUUUCAAUAGGUUUAGGCAUGUUGGUAGGGGAAUAUAUUUCAAUAGGUUUAGGCAUGUUGGUAGGGGAAUGUAUUUCAAUAGGUUGAGGCAUGUUUGUAGGGGAAUACAUUUCAAUAGGUUUAGGCAUGUUGGUAGGGGAAUAUAUUUCAAUAGGUUUAGGCAUGUUGGUAGGGGAAUAUAUUUCAAUAGGUUUAGGCAUGUUUGUAGGGGAAUACAUUUCAAUAGGUUUAGGCAUGUUGGUAGGGGAAUAUAUUUCAAUAGGUUUAGGCAUGUUGGUAGGGGAAUGUAUUUCAAUAGGUUUAGGCAUGUUGGUAGGGGAAUGUAUUUCAAUAGGUUUAGGCAUGUUGGUAGGGGAAUGUAUUUCAAUAGGUUUAGGCAUGUUGGUAGGGGAAUGUAUUUCAAUAGGUUUAGGCAUGUUGGUAGGGGAAUAUAUUUCAAUAGGUUUAGGAAUGUUGGUAGGGGAAUAUAUUUCAAUAGGUUUAGGAAUGUUGG